rnacentral:rRNA from 1 species
ACCAUAUUACGACUUAAACAUAGAUCUAUAUAUUUACCUGAUAGCGGUUAACGGUUAACGAUAAUCCUAAUAUAUUAUAUCACAUUAUAUCUAU